UAGCCCCGUUGUGUUUGGUGUCCCAGCC
rnacentral:piRNA from 1 species